rnacentral:rRNA from 1 species
AAGUCGAGCGAACCAAUAAGAAGCUUGCUUUUUGUUGGUUAGCGGCGGACGGGUGAGUAACACGUGGGUAACCUGCCUGUAAGACCGGGAUAACUCCGGGAAACCGGUGCUAAUACCGGAUAGAUUAUCUUUCCACCUGGAGAGAUAAGGAAAGAUGGCUUUUGCCAUCACUUACAGAUGGGCCCGCGGCGCAUUAGCUAGUUGGUGAGGUAACGGCUCACCAAGGCGACGAUGCGUAGCCGACCUGAGAGGGUGAUCGGCCACACUGGGACUGAGACACGGCCCAGACUCCUACGGGAGGCAGCAGUAGGGAAUCUUCCGCAAUGGACGAAAGUCUGACGGAGCAACGCCGCGUGAGUGAGGAAGGUCUUCGGAUCGUAAAGCUCUGUUGUUAGGGAAGAACAAGUAUCGGAGGAAAUGCCGGUACCUUGACGGUACCUGACGAGAAAGCCACGGCUAACUACGUGCCAGCAGCCGCGGUAAUACGUAGGUGGCAAGCGUUGUCCGGAUU